GGAGAGAUGGCCGAGUGGUCGAAGGCGCACGCCUGGAGAGCGUGUGAUGGUUAAAAGCUGUCCGUGGGUUCAAAUCCCACUCUCUCCGCCA
rnacentral:tRNA from 1 species